GAGGAUACUAAAUCGUUUGUAGACGACUUAAUGUUUUGUCGGGGAGACGUAAGUGCUCGAGCAGCUUUCACACUGCGAUGCAUUGAAUCCUAUCCCUGCUUGACGCAAUGAUUUGA
rnacentral:ncRNA from 1 species